rnacentral:tRNA from 2 species
GCCUCCUUAGUUAAAUGGAUAUAACAGCCCCCUCCUAAGGGGCCGUUGUAGGUUCGAUUCCUACAGGGGGUGCCA